rnacentral:rRNA from 1 species
UACAGAGGUCUCAAGCGUUGUUCGGAUUCAUUGGGCGUAAAGGGUGUGUAGGUGGCGCGCUAAGUCGGGUGUGAAAUUUCGGAGCUUAACUCCGAAACUGCAUUCGAUACUGGCGUGCUUGAGGACUGGAGAGGAGACUGGAAUUUACGAUGUAGCAGUGAAAUGCGUAGAUAUCGUAAGGAAGACCAGUGGCGAAGGCGGGUCUCUGGACAGUUCCUGACACUGAGACACGAAGGCCAGGGGAGCAAACGGG